UGAGUGGGCUGCAGCGGAGGUGGGACCGGCAUCAGAAAUUGAAAAACAGUCUGAGAUGUGCCAAAAAUGUGAAGUGAAGGAUCCAAACAUUUUUGUUUUCAUAAAAUAUGUUUACAUGUUCAUCGCUAGUUGUUUUACUUCACCCGUGGGCUUUGAACGGGGCACCUGGCUCAUCUCCGGGAGGAACCCCUGCUCAAAAAUACUUUAAUCUGCGGCCGAACGCUUGUGUGGCCGGGUGAAGAGGGAUGUAGCUACCGUAGCAUAGCCCAUAUAAUAUCAGAACAGUGUGACGGAUGCAUAUAACCAUCCAGGAAGGAAGAUCCUUGCCGGAUUAAAAAGAGACACCACAUGCUGCAAGGACGUCCACUGCCGGUUCUGUCACUCAACGUGUUUCACCCAAAAAGGUUGAGCAAGAGCACAGCCCAUUUAGAGGGGCAUUUCAACCAUGCAGUUUACCAUGAAGGAUGAAGGUGGAUGGAGUGAUGUGGGGGGUGAUGGAUGUCGGUCUGGAUGUGGUGUUGGGAGGGGUUAUUGUCAAUUGUUUCUUUUUGGUUAACAUUCAAAAAAUAAUAAUGUGUAUAUAUAUAAUCUUGAAUCUGCCCCCAGAGUCGUCCGUGUCUUGCCUCUCCAAAAUGACACAUUUCAGGUUGAGAUCUGGUGACUGCAAAAGCCACAGCAAAUACAAUAGAAUAUAAAAAUAUAUUUUUCCUGAGGGAACCUUGUGGCGUCAGACACAUACAGCAUUUUGUAUGCGUACAGGCAUGUACUGUAUUUACAAGAUGAUCCGCUCUACCGAGAUGCGGUCAAUGUUGGCAGCCAUGUCCAAUACAACAAAGUUCAUCCCAGCAUGCCCAUCCACACCAAAGGAAACGUCCUCAAGCAGCCCAUCCAUCCUGCCGUGGAGGUUCAACACCAGCAGCAGAACAGAAGGAAGCGGUGGAUCCUCUCCGCAGCUCCAUCCACCCCACAUCACCCAAAGACACGUUUCCUUACAAUGAUGAAAUGAAAUCCAAUGCAAUAUAAUAGAUUAGAGUUAGCAGGUCUUCGGGAGCUUAUUACUGAUGUUAUGAGGACGAUGUUAUGUUGACUUUCUCUCUUUGGUGAAGUUAAGCCCCUCAGUGCUCAUGUUGCAGGGUUUACAUUGGUUCUCUGUAGUCCCGGACAAUGAUUUGAGGCCUCUCCAGGCAUCACACGUCUGUCCACAAUUUUCCACCUUUUCUUUACACCAUUUAGCUUCCUUAAUUUGCUUACUUCAUUUACCUUGAAUCAAAUUACACUGAAUCUUGACACCUAUGGACUAUGUACAUUUUUCUCUACUGUAAUGUUAUUUUAAG